rnacentral:lncRNA from 1 species
GGAGUAGUGGCAGUCCAUAACUAUAGUAGUAUCACUUCAACGGCAACCAUAAGAGUAACGGUGAAGAAGCAUGAGCCCAGCCAUAUCUGGCUAUUUUUAGGUGAAAUGGUUACCUCCAUUAAUGGAGGAAAAAAGGAGAAAAAAGUGGAGACAUGGUGGAGUAGUAGAGGCAUAAGGAUAAAUCUUGCUAGUCAUUAACUCCGACGAGAGCCGAUGGGAAAUAAAGAGAAAGAGGGGGAGGCCGUAUUAUGGCUGUUUGGUUGGAGGCUCACCCACCUGCGGCCAACUCUAAUGGAGCCCGGCAUAAAGAAGGAAAAAAGAGAGAGAUCAGUGGGAGAUGAGCGUGGUAGUGGCAUGGAUGGAGCUCGCCAAGCUCCGACAAUAACGGUGAGUGGCGGAAUGGAAGGGAAGAUGGAAAAGAAAAAACUUUCUUUGUGUGUACUUUGUAUAUGUAUAUACGUGUGUUUGUAUAUUUUUUUUGUGUUUGUGUGUGUAUGUAUUUUUUAUGUUUGCGAGAGAGAAAAUAGAAAUAAAAAUUGGUUGCGUGUGUAAUUUUGUGUAUUUUUUUAGAGUGGGAAGAAAAAGGAACAAAAGGUAAGGGUGGUUGUACAAAGAUGUG